CCAUAUUGUAUUCAAUGUCUGAAAUCUCAUAAAAUAUGCUUGUCUUUGUAUCUUUGCAAAGACCAGAAAAGAAAGGCCACAUUUCUAUUUUGUGACUUUUGGCUCUUCAAUCUGAUCCAGAGAAUACUGCGAUGAACAUUUGGGCUGCUCUAAGAGGAAACAGCACAAACAGGAUUUCCUAAGAAAUGGAAAAUUAUGUGAAUAUGGCCCAACAAUUCAUUCAGUCCAACAGUAAAUACUUCAACCCUCAGCAUUUGAUACUGAAUUUUCAUAAAUUUGAAAAUCCCACUGAACCAGAGAAUGGCCUAUCAGAAAAAAUCUGUGUCAGCAAGUUUGAAGAAUGAAACUUUUUUGUUUCUAUAAUCAUCUGAGAGUUAACAGAUGCAUGUUUGACAAUUUGCAGACAGAAUAAAAGACUAAGGAAAUGGAGAAGCAAUUGGUCUAACCAUGCAGUCAUUUACCCAAGCAAGCUAUUUCCAUUUAAAUCAAAAAGCAUUGCUUACCUGAGCAAGUAUU